ensembl:lncRNA
CAUAAGUCUGGCUUUUAUCACACUCUUUUUAUUUUAUUAUUAUUACGUACACUUCCAGAUACAGCAGGUUUAUUAUCGCAAUGACGAAUCACUUAUUCAACGUGUGUCUGUUUUUCUAUCUGUGUGUUUGUGUGUGUGUGUGUGUGUGUGUUUGCAUAUGAAUGAUAAAAACAAGAACACUGCACUGUCAGGAAUUUAUGAAUUAUUUUAUUUUAUUUUAUUUUUAUUUUUAUCAUCGGUAGAAAUCCCCGAUAGUUUUCAGUAUUAGUUUUAAACGAAUAAACCUUCAGUCGUAAAAGUUUAUUUUCUCACCGCGCGUAGGUUUCCAAGUUAAACAUGGACGAUACGUGAUAAACGACCUUUCAAAUCCGGUGACGCUUGUGAAAUCGUGUGCAAAAGUUCGUAUCCCCUUAGGACAUGAAGAAGAAUGUAAUUUCGAUAAAUGUCUUAAGCUACAAAGCUCUUUCUAAAUGUAAACAAGUCACACAUUUCAUAUACAGUGUGUUGGUUUUUUUUUUUAAUAUAUAUUAUUUAUUUAUUUUUUAAAAGACAAUCUCCCUUUUAUUUAUUUUUAUUUUUUAUUUUUUUGGGAAUAUGAUAUAAAUAUUCUCUAAUGACUUGCAGGCCUUUAUAACAUCCUCCAGAUCUUUGACUUUUGACUGGUGGUCAGAUUGUUGUCUUGAUUUCAUUUUUAACAUUUUGGAGUGUUUUUUUAAAAUUUUUAUUUUUAAUUUUUUUUUGGAAGAAGAAUAAUAGUCAAAUCCGAGGUACGUUUUCUCGUUUUUCCCACCCAAACUCCAUGAGUGCACGGAGAGUGUCGGACAUGCUGUUCAUGUCUGUACUCUUGUUGUUUUUUGACUGCUGUAAACUCCUGUCCCUUUCAUCUCUCUAAACUGAAAGUGACUCUUUAAGGCUGUCCAUCGUAUUUCAUGUAUUUAUACUCUACUGUACAGUUGUCUUGUUUGUAUCUGUAUUAUUAAUAAAUAAAUAAAUAAAUGUAUUCGGGAAUCUCUAGUAUACUUUACACAG